GUUGUAUGGUUAAGUGAAUAAGCGUGCACGGUGGAUGCCUAGGCAAUUAGAGGCGAUGAAGGACGUGGUAAUCUGCGAUAAGUCCAGGGGAGUUGAUAACAAGCGUUAUAUCCUGGAAUUUCCGAAUGGGGCAACCCGGCACUUAGUGUCAUCGUUAUGUGAAUACAUAGCAUAGCGAAGCAAACGAGGGGAACUGAAACAUCUAAGUACCCUUAGGAAAAGAAAUCAACCGAGAUUCCGAAAGUAGCGGCGAGCGAAAUCGGAACAGCCCUUAAGCUGUUUAAAAGUUAGUGGAAGGCUCUGGAAAGUGCCACGGUACAGGGUGAUAGUCCCGUACACAAAAACUUCUUUAUAGUGAAAACGAGUAAGACGGGACACGAGAAAUCCUGUUUGAAUAUGGGGGGACCAUCCUCCAAGGCUAAAUACUCCUAAUUGACCGAUAGUGAACCAGUACCGUGAGGGAAAGGCGAAAAGAACCCCUGUGAGGGGAGUGAAAUAGAACCUGAAACCGUGUACGUACAAGCAGUAGGAGCCGACUUAGUUCGGUGACUGCGUACCUUUUGUAUAAUGGGUCAACGACUUAAUUUCAGUAGCAAGGUUAACCGUUUAGGGGAGCCGUAGGGAAACCGAGUCUUAACUGGGCGAAUAGUUGCUGGGAUUAGACCCGAAACUUGGUGAUCUAGCCAUGAGCAGGUUGAAGGUUGAGUAACAUCAACUGGAGGACCGAACCCACUAAUGUUGAAAAAUUAGGGGAUGACUUGUGGCUGGGGGUGAAAGGCCAAUCAAACCAAGAGAUAGCUGGUUCUCCUCGAAAGCUAUUUAGGUAGCGCCUCAUGUAUCACUGUUGGGGGUAGAGCACUGUUAAGGCUAGGGGGUCAUCCCGACUUACCAACCCUUUGCAAACUCCGAAUACCAACAAGUGCAAUCAUGGGAGACACACGGCGGGUGCUAACGUCCGUCGUGGAAAGGGAAACAACCCAGACCGCCAGCUAAGGUCCCAAAGUAUAUGUUAAGUGGGAAACGAUGUGGGAAGGCUUAGACAGCUAGGAAGUUGGCUUAGAAGCAGCCAUCUUUUAAAGAAAGCGUAAUAGCUCACUAGUCGAGUCGGCCUGCGCGGAAGAUUUAACGGGGCUAAACAUAUCACCGAAGCUGCGGACGCAUAUUUAUAUGCGUGGUAGAGGAGCGUUCUGUAAGCCGUCGAAGGGAAAGGUGUAAACCAUCCUGGAGGUAUCAGAAGUGCGAAUGUUGACAUGAGUAACGAUAAGGGGGGUGAAAAACCUCCCCGCCGGAAGACCAAGGGUUCCUGUCCAACGUUAAUCGGGGCAGGGUGAGUCGACCCCUAAGGCGAGGCCGAAAGGCGUAGUCGAUGGGAAACGGGUUAAUAUUCCCGUACCCUUUAUUAUUGCGAUGGGAGGACGGAGAAGGCUAGGUGGGCCUGGCGAUGGUUGUCCAGGUUCAAGUAUGUAGGUGGGAGACUUAGGUAAAUCCGGGUUUCUAUUAACACUGAGAUACGAUGUCGAGGUACUAAGGUACUGAAGUCAUUGAUGCCAUGCUUCCAGGAAAAGUCUCUAAGCUUCAGAUAAUAAAGGAUCGUACCCCAAACCGACACAGGUGGUCAGGUAGAGAAUACCAAGGCGCUUGAGAGAACUCGGGUAAAGGAACUAGGCAAAAUGGUACCGUAACUUCGGGAGAAGGUACGCCUUCGACGGUGAUGAGACUUGCUCUUUUAGCUGUUGGAGGCCGAAGAUACCAGAUGGCUGCAACUGUUUAUUAAAAACACAGCACUCUGCUAAAUCGUAAGAUGACGUAUAGGGUGUGACGCCUGCCCGGUGCCGGAAGGUUAAUUGAUGAGGUUAGACUUAGGUCGAAGCUUUUGAUCGAAGCCCCGGUAAACGGCGGCCGUAACUAUAACGGUCCUAAGGUAGCGAAAUUCCUUGUCGGGUAAGUUCCGACCUGCACGAAUGGCGUAAUGAUGGCCAUGCUGUCUCUACCCGAGACUCAGUGAAGUUGAAAUCGCAGUGAAGAUGCUGUGUACCCGCGGCUAGACGGAAAGACCCCGUGAACCUUUACUAUAGCUUAGCAGUGAACUUAGAGCCUACAUGUGUAGGAUAGGUGGGAGGCUUUGAAGCGUUGUCGCCAGAUGACGUGGAGCCAAUCUUGAAAUACCACCCUUGUAUGUUUUGAGUUCUAACCAUGGCCCCUGAAUCGGGGUUUGGGACACUGUUUGGUGGGUAGUUUGACUGGGGCGGUCUCCUCCUAAAGAGUAACGGAGGAGUACGAAGGUUGGCUAAUCACGGUCGGACAUCGUGAGGUUAGUACAAUGGUAUAAGCCAGCUUAACUGCGAGACAGACACGUCGAGCAGGUACGAAAGUAGGUCAUAGUGAUCCGGUGGUUCUGAAUGGAAGGGCCAUCGCUCAACGGAUAAAAGGUACUCCGGGGAUAACAGGCUGAUACCGCCCAAGAGUUCAUAUCGACGGCGGUGUUUGGCACCUCGAUGUCGGCUCAUCACAUCCUGGGGCUGAAGUCGGUCCCAAGGGUAUGGCUGUUCGCCAUUUAAAGUGGUACGCGAGCUGGGUUUAGAACGUCGUGAGACAGUUCGGUCCCUAUCUGCCGUGGGCGUUUGAGAAUUGAGAGGGGCUGCUCCUAGUACGAGAGGACCGGAGUGGACGAACCGCUGGUGUUCGGGUUGUAUCGCCAGAUGCAUUGCCCGGUAGCUACGUUCGGAAUCGAUAACCGCUGAAAGCAUCUAAGCGGGAAGCGAGCCUCAAGAUGAGUUCUCACUGGAACUUUAAGUUCCCUAAAGGGCCGUUGGAGACUACAACGUUGAUAGGCAAGGUGUGUAAGUGCAGUAAUGUAUUGAGCUAACUUGUACUAAUUACCCGUGAGGCUUAACCAUACAACACCUAAGUAGU
rnacentral:rRNA from 1 species